CAGCCGCGUAAUUCCAGCUCCAAUAGCGUAUAUUAAAGUUGUUGCAGUUAAAAAGCUCGUAGUUGAAUUUCGGGAUCAAUAUAUCGGUCGUGCCUUGGUACGUACUGGUAUCAUUGGUUUCUCCUUUCUGACGAACCAUGAUGUCAUUAAUUUGGUGUUAUGGGAAGUUAGGACUGUUACUUUGAAAAAAUUAGAGUGUUUAAAGCAGGCUUUAGCUUGAAUACAUUAGCAUGGAAUAAUGAGAUAGGACGUUCGAACCUAUUUUGUUGGUUUCUAGGAUCAACGUAAUGAUUAAUAGGGAUAGUUGGGGGCAUUAGUAUUCAAUUGUCAGAGGUGAAAUUCUUGGAUUUAUUGAAGACUAACUACUGCGAAAGCAUUUGCCAAGGAUGUUUUCAUUAAUCAAGAACGAAAGUUAGGGGAUCGAAGACGAUCAGAUACCGUCGUAGUCUUAACCAUAAACUAUGCCGACUAGGGAUCGGAUGAUGUUAAUUUUUUAAUGACUCAUUCGGCGCCUUACG
rnacentral:misc_RNA from 1 species